rnacentral:rRNA from 1 species
UACGGAGGGUGCGAGCGUUGUCCGGAAUCACUGGGCGUAAAGGGCGCGUAGGCGGCCUGAUAAGUAGGGGGUGAAAUCCUGCGGCUUAACCGCAGGGCUGCCUUCUAAACUGUCGGGCUAGAGCACGGUAGAGGCAGAUGGAAUUCCCGGUGUAGCGGUGGAAUGCGUAGAGAUCGAGAAGAACAUCAGUGGCGAAGGCGGUCUGCUGGGCCGUUGCUGACGCUGAGGCGCGACAGCGUGGGGAGCAAACAGG